rnacentral:rRNA from 1 species
GACGGAGGAUGCAAGUGUUAUCCGGAAUCACUGGGCGUAAAGCGUCUGUAGGUGGUUCGAAAAGUCCACUGUUAAAAAUUGAGGCUUAACUUCAAAGAUGCCGUGGAAACUUUCAAACUAGAGUAUGGUAGGGGUAGAGGGAAUUUCCAGUGGAGCGGUGAAAUGCGUAGAGAUCGGGAAGAACAUCGGUGGCGAAGGCGCUCUACUGGACCACAACUGACACUCAGGGACGAAAGCUAGGGGAGCGAAUGGG